AAUAUUGUGUUGAUGAUGGUGGUUCAUACCACUUAGUUUUGAAGGAUGAAAGGUUGGAACAUGUGCAAUAAUUUCCUUGAGAUGGUAAUGGUAAUUUUCUACUAGCAGGCAGUAUUGGAACAUGAAAUUUAAGGAUGCUACCUCUGCUGCUCAAGAAGCGGCUGAGUUUGCAGAACAUGCAAGCCUAGCUGCCAGAGCUGUUGUUGAACUUUCAAGGCAAUAUUGUGUUGAUGAUGCUGGUUCAUACCACUUAAGUUUCAAGGAUGAAAGGUUGGAACAUGGGCAAUCAUUUCCUGGAGAUGGUAAUGGUAAUUCUUCUUUCGGUAGGUAGAAUUGGAACGUGAAAUUUAGGGAUGCUACGUCUGCUGCUCAAGCAGCGUCUGACUUUAGAGAACAUGCAAGCCUAGAUGCCAGAGCUAAUGUAGAACUUUCAAGGCAAUAUUGUGUUGAUGAUGGUUGUUCAUGCCACUUAGGUUUCAAGGAUGAAAGGUUGGAACAUGGGCAAUCAUUUCCUGGAUAUGGUAAUGGUAAUUUUUCUUUUGGCAAGCAGAAUUGGAACAUGAAAUUUAUGGAUGCUACCUCUGCUGCUCAAGCAGCGGCUGAGUUUGCAGAACAUGCAAGCCUAGCUGCUAGAGCUGUUGUAGAACUUUUAUGGCAAUAUUGUGUUGAUGAUAGUGGUUCAUGCCACAUAGGUUUC
rnacentral:lncRNA from 1 species